GAAGUCUGCCGAUGACUAUGGCAAGGGAGUCUGUCGAUGAUACGAAGGGAGAGUUUGGAAGCCGCCGAUGGUUUGUGGAAGAGUUUUAGUUUGUCACGGGGGAUAGUUUUGUUAUUUCCUUAAUUAUUUAAAUCGUUUUGUAUACGGAUUCCGUGUAAUUUGGAAUUCGAAUUCUAAUCGUGUCUGGCUGUAGCUCUUUGAGCAGGGUAU
rnacentral:lncRNA from 1 species